UUAGAUCGUACCCACAUUUACUUGGAUAACUGUGGUAAUUCUAGAGCUAAUACAUGCAAACAGAGCUCCGACCGGAGACGGAAGGAGCGCUUUUAUUAGAUCAAAACCGAUCGGUGGUGGAUUUUUCCAACAUCGUACAAUUUGGUGAAUCUGAAUAACUUUAAGCUGAUCGCACGGUCUCGCACCGGCGACGCAUCUUUCAAAUGUCUGCCUUAUCAACUGUCGAUGGUAGGUUCUGCGCCUACCAUGGUUGUAACGGGUAACGGGGAAUCAGGGUUCGAUUCCGGAGAGGGAGCCUGAGAAACGGCUACCACAUCCAAGGAAGGCAGCAGGCGCGCAAAUUACCCACUCCCGGCACGGGGAGGUAGUGACGAAAAAUAACGAUACGGGACUCAUCCGAGGCCCCGUAAUCGGAAUGAGUACACUCUAAACCCUUUAACGAGGAUCAAUUGGAGGGCAAGUCUGGUGCCAGCAGCCGCGGUAAUUCCAGCUCCAAUAGCGUAUAUUAAAGUUGUUGCGGUUAAAAAGCUCGUAGUCGAAUCUGUGUCUCGCACCGCCGGUUCAUCGUUCGCGGUGUUAACUGGCGUGCCGUGGGACGUCCUGCCGGUGGGCUUAGCUCGAAAGGGCGGUCCAACUAAUUCCUGCCGCGGUGCUCUUCAUUGAGUGUCGAGGUGGGCCGGCACGUUUACUUUGAACAAAUUAGAGUGCUUAAAGCAGGCUAAAAUUUCGCCUGAAUACUGUGUGCAUGGAAUAAUGGAAUAGGACCUCGGUUCUAUUUUGUUGGUUUUCGGAACCCCGAGGUAAUGAUUAAUAGGAACGGAUGGGGGCAUUC
rnacentral:rRNA from 1 species